AAGUCCUCAUCGAAGAACCUAGAGAUAAAAUAUCCCUGACAGCAGAAUUAACGGAAGAAUGGAGUUUGUGAAGUGACCAGAAACAACAGGAUUCCAGAAGAGAGUCUGUGCGAACUUGGAGAGAUUACGUUACAAUUUGUUGUUUCUUAUUAAUUGGGUUUGUAUUAGUGGGUCUUGACUUUAUUUAAAUCGCAUUUUAGUAGAAUUUAGACCUGUUAGGGAGUAGUUGGUAGCCUAAGGAGGUUUGUUAGUAAUUUUGUUAAUUUGUUCAUUGUUGGGUUAAAUAAGUAAGUUAUUUCUUAUUACAUGUGAAGCGGAGAUCAAGGAUUUUCUUUCUUUUAACCAGUCUUUUAAUAGAUUACGAGGGGAAAGGCAAGCUUCUCUGGAUGUUUAGGGGGCAAUUAUUAGAUGGGAACACCUACUCCUGUCAUAAUAGAUUGAGGCUUGUGUUUUAGUUCAAUUAUCAGAGGGGUUCAGUCAUUCCUUGACAUAACACUGUCUUGCAUCAACAUACUGAUAGCCCUGAACUGGCGAUAAGAAUAACAAAUAAGGCAAACAACGCCGCCCAUUAUAAAACAACACACCAGACUGCAAUUUUCAACUUGUGCAGUUAAAGGCAGAAAUCUGGAAGAUUUUGUCUGAUUUUUUUCUGCUCCUCUAAAAGCUUUGUUGUAUCAAUACCUCACCUCACCAGCAUGAGACCAAAUGAAAGGUGCGACGUCACAGUGUGUAUCCAAUAGAUACCAACUAGACAUGGGACAACAAGUUGGAAUUUGAGAUUCAUGUGUAAAUGACUUUUUAACAAUAUGAGUCCGCAGCUCUGUUGGACACAUUGGGAGCAUGGUUCUAAUAUUCUGCGAACAUUCAAAAGUGCUGCCAGACCUGCUACGCUUCUCCAGCAUUCUCUGCGUUUGUUGUAUCCUUCUUCCUGCAAGCAAUUGGAGCAACCACUUUAACACAUCAUUGGAUGUUCAACAUGCCAC